rnacentral:rRNA from 1 species
GACGAACGCUGGCGGCGUGCUUAACACAUGCAAGUCGAACGGAAAGGCCCUGCUUUUGUGGGGAGCUCGAGUGGCGAACGGGUGAGUAACACGUGAGUAACCUGCCCUUGACUUUGGGAUAACUUCAGGAAACUGGGGCUAAUACCGGAUAGGAGCUCCUGCUGCAUGGUGGGGGUUGGAAAGUUUCGGCGGUUGGGGAUGGACUCGCGGCUUAUCAGCUUGUUGGUGGGGUAGUGGCUUACCAAGGCUUUGACGGGUAGCCGGCCUGGGCGGGGGGGCGGGCACACUGGGCCGGGACUGAGGCCCGGACCGCACUGGGAGGGAAGGGUGGGGUAGGGUUCACUAGGGGCGGGAGGCUUGAGCGAGCAAGCCGGGCGGCGGGAGGGAGGCAUCGGGUUGGAAAGCAGAUUCCGCUCGGACGGGACGGUGGUGACGGGAAUGGGAUAAGAAGCACCGGCUAACUACGUG